UAUGAUCUGAUACUGUGGAAGACUGAAGGUAAUAUUGUGGCUGAAGUCAAUAAAAGUACCAAUCCUAGUGGCAGACUACGUCUUAAACAAGAAACUGGAGAUCUCACUAUUUGUGACUCCAGAACCUCAGACUCUGGAGAUUAUCAUCUACACAUGAGCAACAGUGCAUAUACCUUAGAGAGGACCAUCAAAGUUUUUGUCAAGACUUCACCUCAGUCAGGUGCUCCUUCAGGGAUAUAUGGUGCUGGUGUUGGUCUGGUAGUUUGGGUUGUAACUGUGUUUUUUGCUGAAAGAUUUGUUGACAACAAAAUCAAAGGUGUUUCAGUGAAAAUAAAGUGAAUCACUCUCAGGAUCAGCAUGGAAAAAUGAAGAGAAACAACAGUUCAUAAUCACUGUAAAAAGAUAAACUUGGGCUUUGCCUGACAUGUUGUUUGUUUUAUGGAUAUAUUUUGACAUAAAUCUUGAUUUUUUGGUCUCAUGCUUGACUACCAGAACAAAAGGGGAAACUGUAAACACCAUAGCCUGAAAUUUUCAAAUCACAAAACCAUUCAUGACUUUUUCCAGUUAAAAAUAUAAAAUAAAUCAACAUGUGCCAAAAUAUUUCACUUGUUAACCAGCAGGGUUUGGCUGCUUGAAAUUGGUGUUUUAGUGUUUUUGGGAUGCCGUUCAUAUGAAAGUUUAUGUUCAUCUGGUGCUUAUACAGAUCUAUGUACAAAAACACAAU